rnacentral:rRNA from 1 species
ACUCCAAACCAUUGUGAACAUACCUAGCACCGUUGCUUCGGCGGGCGGCCCCGGGCCUCUCCGGGCGCCCUUCGGCCCCUCGCGGGUGCCCGCCGGAGGUAUACAACCCUUGUACUUUGCAUGGCUUCUCUGAGUCUUCGUACUUAAUAAGUCAAAACUUUCAACAACGGAUCUCUUGGUUCUGGCAUCGAUGAAGAACGCAGCGAAAUGCGAUAAGUAAUGUGAAUUGCANAAUUCAGUGAAUCAUCGAAUCUUUGAACGCACAUUGCGCCCGCCAGCACUCUGGCGGGCAUGCCUGUUCGAGCGUCAUUUCAACCAUCAAGCCCCCGGGCUUGCGUUGGGGACCUGCGGCUGCCCGCAGGCCCUGAAAACCAGUGGCGGGCUCGCUGUCACCCCGGUCGUAGUAGUAUCAUCUCGUCCAGGGCGUGGCUGCGGGCUCCGGCCGUUAAACCUUCUCAAACCCAAAGGUUGACCUCGGAUCAGGUAGGAAUACCCGCUGAACUUAA